UACGGAGGAUGCGAGCGUUAUCCGGAUUUAUUGGGUUUAAAGGGUGCGUAGGCGGAUCGUUAAGUCAGUGGUCAAAUUGAGGGGCUCAACCCCUUCCCGCCAUUGAAACUGGCGAUCUUGAGUGGAAGAGAAGUAUGCGGAAUGCGUGGUGUAGCGGUGAAAUGCAUAGAUAUCACGCAGAACCCCGAUUGCAAAGGCAGCAUGCCGGCUUCCGACUGACGCUGAAGCACGAAAGCGUGGGGAUCGAACAGG
rnacentral:rRNA from 1 species